rnacentral:rRNA from 1 species
AUUGAACGCUGGCGGCAGGCCUAACACAUGCAAGUCGAGCGGAUGAGUGGAGCUUGCUCCAUGAUUCAGCGGCGGACGGGUGAGUAAUGCCUAGGAAUCUGCCUGGUAGUGGGGGACAACGUUUCGAAAGGAACGCUAAUACCGCAUACGUCCUACGGGAGAAAGCAGGGGGACCUUCGGGCCUUGCGCUAUCAGAUGAGCCUAGGUCGGAUUAGCUAGUAGGUGAGGUAAUGGCUCACCUAGGCGACGAUCCGUAACUGGUCUGAGAGGAUGAUCAGUCACACUGGAACUGAGACACGGUCCAGACUCCUACGGGAGGCAGCAGUGGGGAAUAUUGGACAAUGGGCGAAGCCUGAUCCAGCCAUGCCGCGUGUGUGAAGAAGGUCUUCGGAUUGUAAAGCACUUUAAGUUGGGUAGGAAGGGCAGUAAGUUAAUACCUUGCUGUUUGACGUUACCAACAGAAUAAGCACCGGCUAACUUCGUGCCA